rnacentral:rRNA from 1 species
UCCACAUGGACGAAAGUCUGAUGGACGCAACGCCGCGUGAGUGAUGAAGGUUUUCGGAUCGUAAAACUCUGUUGUAAGGGAAGAACAAGUACGUUAGGAAAUGAACGUACCUUGACGGUACCUUAUUAGAAAGCCACGGCUAACUACGUGCCAGCAGCCGCGGUAAUA